CCAGACAGUUGGACGAUCGCUGUGUUCUUUAUAUGAACAUGGAGGAAAGUCCGGGCUCCAUGGGAAAACGGUACCGGCUAACAGCCGGCGGGGGUGACCCUAGGGAAAGUGCCACAGAAAACAAACCUCCCAUCGGGCUUCGGUCAUGGGUAAGGGCGAAACGGCGUGGUAAGAGCACACCGCAAAAUCGGCAACGAUUUUGGUCACGGUAAACCCUACCGGGAGCAAAACCGAAUAGGGACAACAGAUUAUCGCUUGAUAAUCGGGGGCUUCUCACCCCGUUGUCCGGGUUGGUUGCGUGAGGCUUGUAGCAAUACAAGUCCCAGAGGAAUGAUCGUCCCGUUUUUGACGGACAGAACCCGGCUUACAGACUGUCUGGCUCA
rnacentral:RNase_P_RNA from 1 species